CAUGCAGUCNNNGAUGAAGCCCUUCGGGGUGGAUUAGUGGCGAACGGGUGAGUAACACGUGGGCAAUCUGCCCUUCACUCUGGGACAAGCCCUGGAAACGGGGUCUAAUACCGGAUAACACCGGCUUCCGCAUGGGAGCUGGUUAAAAGCUCCGGCGGUGAAGGAUGAGCCCGCGGCCUAUCAGCUUGUUGGUGGGGUAAUGGCCUACCAAGGCGACGACGGGUAGCCGGCCUGAGAGGGCGACCGGCCACACUGGGACUGAGACACGGCCCAGACUCCUACGGGAGGCAGCAGUGGGGAAUAUUGCACAAUGGGCGAAAGCCUGAUGCAGCGACGCCGCGUGAGGGAUGACGGCCUUCGGGUUGUAAACCUCUUUCAGCAGGGAAGAAGCGAAAGUGACGGUACCUGCAGAAGAAGCGCCGGCUAACUACGUGCCAGCAGCCGCGGUAAUACGUAGGGCGCAAGCGUUGUCCGGAAUUAUUGGGCGUAAAGAGCUCGUAGGCGGCUUGUCACGUCGGGUGUGAAAGCCCGGGGCUUAACCCCGGGUCUGCAUCCGAUACGGGCAGGCUAGAGUGUGGUAGGGGAGAUCGGAAUUCCUGGUGUAGCGGNA
rnacentral:rRNA from 1 species